AGGAAUAGAGAGCAAUCAGAUGAUACAGAAUUUGGUGACUGACUGGAUAGAUCAUGAAGGCAAGGAGAAAACCAAGAUGAGUCUGAUGACAGAGUGGAAGUUGGUGCCAUUAACUGAGGUGGCUUAGAGUCUGCAGUUUUGCACAUUUUGAUUGUUUGAUAUAUUUACCCAUCCACCUAUGAAUAUGAAGAAAAUGUUCUUAUAUUCCUUUACUACCAGUGGAAUCAAUUAAGAGGUCUGGAGAAGGAAAUGUACUGUUAUGACUAUAAAGACAUCCUGCUGAAUAUCCUGAUGCUUGGGAAAGUAAAACUCAAUAUAGAAAAAGCAUCACUAAU
rnacentral:lncRNA from 1 species